CGCGGCCUAUCAGCUUGUUGGUGAGGUAAAGGCUCACCAAGGCAAUGACGGGUAGCUGGUCUGAGAGGACGAUCAGCCACACUGGGACUGAGAUACGGCCCAGACUCCUGCGGGAGGCAGCAGGGGGGAAUCUUGCGCAAUGGGCGAAAGCCUGACGCAGCAACGCCGCGUGGGGGAUGAAUGCUUUAGGGUUGUAAACCCCUUUCACCAGGGAAGAAAUUGACGGUACCUGUAGAAGAAGCCCCGGCCAACUACGUGCCAGCAGCCGCGGUAACACGUAGGGGGCGAGCGUUGUCCGGAUUUAUUGGGCGUAAAGGGCUCGUAGGCGGUUUGGUAAGUCAGAUGUGAAAAGCUGGGGCUCAACUCUGGGACUGCGGUUGAUACUGCCGUGGCUAGGGUCCGGUAGAGGAGUGUGGAAUUCCUGGUGUAGCGGUGAAAUGCGCAGAUAUCAGGAGGAACACCGACAGCGAAGGCGGCUCUCUGGGCCGGUACUGACGCUGAGGAGCGAAAGCGUGGGUAGCAAACAGGAUUAGAUACCCUGGUAGUCCACGCCGUAAACGUUGGGUACUAGGUGUGGCAUCUUAUCAACGGAUGCCGUGCUCUAAGCUAACGCUUUAAUGACCCCGCCGGGGGAGUACGGAUCUUCUAAA
rnacentral:rRNA from 1 species